GAUGAACGCUAGCGGAAGGCUUAAUACAUGCAAGUCGAGCGGUAGGUGGCUUCGGCCAUUGAGAGCGGCGCACGGGUGAGUAACGCGUACAUGACCUGCCUGUCAGAAGGGGGAUAGCCCUGGGAAACUGGGAUUAAAUACCCUAUGGUAAUUGAUAUUAUGAAUGAUAUCAAUUAAAGUUGAGGCGCUGACAGAUGGAUGUGCGUCUGAUUAGCUAGUUGGUAGGGUAACGGCCUACCAAGGCGACGAUCAGUAGGGGGCGUGAGAGCGUGGUCCCCCACACGGGUACUGAGACACGGACCCGACUCCUACGGGAGGCAGCGAGUAAGGAAUAUU
rnacentral:rRNA from 1 species